rnacentral:rRNA from 1 species
CCUACGGGUGGCAGCAGUGGGGGAUAUUGCACAAUGGGGGAAACCCUGAUGCAGCGACGCCGCGUGGGUGAAGAAGCGCCUCGGCGCGUAAAGCCCUGUCAGCAGGGAAGAAAAUGACGGUACUUGAAGCAGAAGCCCCGGCUAACUACGUGCCAGCAGCCGCGGUAAUACGUAGGGGGCAAGCGUUAUCUGGAUUUACUGGGUGUAAAGGGGGCGCAGACGGCGAUGCAAGCCAGGAGUGAAAGCCCGGGGCCCAACCCCGGGACUGCUCGUGGAACUGAGUGGCUAGAGUGCAGGAGGGGCAGGCGGAAUUCCUGGUGUAGCGGUGAAAUGCGUAGAUAUCAGGAGGAACACCGGUGGCGAAGGCGGCCUGCUGGACUGCAACUGACGUUGAGGCCCGAAAGCGUGGGGAGCAAACAGGAUUAGAUACCCCAGUAGUC